rnacentral:rRNA from 1 species
UUUAUGGAGAGUUUGAUCCUGGCUCAGGAUGAACGCUGGCGGCGUGCCUAAUACAUGCAAGUCGAGCGAACGGACGAGAAGCUUGCUUCUCUGAUGUUAGCGGCGGACGGGUGAGUAACACGUGGAUAACCUACCUAUAAGACUGGGAUAACUUCGGGAAACCGUAGCUAAUACCGGAUAAUAUUUUGAACCGCAUGGUUCAAAAGUGAAAGACGGUCUUGCUGUCACUUAUAGAUGGAUCCGCGCUGCAUUAGCUAGUUGGUAAGGUAACGGCUUACCAAGGCAACGAUGCAUAGCCGACCUGAGAGGGUGAUCGGCCACACUGGAACUGAGACACGGUCCAGACUCCUACGGGAGGCAGCAGUAGGGAAUCUUCCGCAAUGGGCGAAAGCCUGACGGAGCAACG